AGAAAACUUUACAAGUUGUUUACUAAAGUGAAAGCCAUAAAUUUUAGUAAUGGAAGAUGAAAUUUAGCCAUCUGUGGAAGUGAUUACACCCUUCACAGAGAAUAAAGUACCCAGUGUAAACAGAUCUUAUAAUGGAAAAUGCACGUCUGGAGGGGAAUAGCUUCCAUUCAGGAUCAGCAUUCAGGACAGCUCUACAAGACUGUCCCGCUGUCUUAUCUGUGACACAGUUGAUGCCGAAUUUAACACAAGAUAGCAGUCCCCAAGUGCUCCCAAUUGCAGGAACCCUGCUAAUCCCAACAUCUAGAGUGUGUUGUCAUAAGGCAUGAUGCAUCCUUUGUGGGGGGAGAUGUUCAGCCUAAAGGACGGAAAAGAAGCAAAGGAUUUGCCACAUUUCACAUCACAAAAGGGAUUAAAGAGGCUCCUUUCCCUUUGACUGGUUAACAGCUCUUGUGUCAGCGUCUUCGUCACGUUUCAUAUAAUUAUUAGGCAUUAAAAGGUCCUUGUAAAUGUCUGCGUCUGAACAUUUUUAUAGUUCUGCCAUUGUCUGAUGAGGAGGAUGCUUCCUUGUUUCAGGAGUGUGUCAACUGAUGAGACAGGAUAGGGAAAGCCUAACUGAUUCCAGAAAUAAUUCUCAAUCCAAAAAAGAUUAUGCUUUCUUGCAAAAUGGUAUCUGGUAUAUUGUUCAUGUUACUUUAUUUCAAGUAGUAAAAAUAAAAUGCCUUGGAUCAGACUGAUUAGAAGGAACCUUGAGUUUUUGAUCUUUUGAAGAUCCAAGAAAGAUUAUCUGGUCCAGCUGUUAAUGAGAAGACUGAAGCCCAGAGAGAAGUGAGUACCCACAUCUCAGAACCAGCCCAGUGCGCUCACCUUGCUGUUUGCCGUCUCCUUGCUGGCUAUACGUUUAAAGUCAAGUGGUUCUAAACAGCAAUCCAGAUGUUCCAUAAAAACUGUCAAAGCAGUGAGCAUAUCAUGCUGAAUCUGGCAGCACAGAGUUAGGAGAGCCGGUCUUCCUCCUGUAGUCAAUAAUCAUUUCCUGAGUCCUGCUGAGUUUCAAGAUCUGUGCUGAGCACUUCCAUCCUCUCCAGAGAGAAGAUCCGCGGGUACAGGCUCAGUCACCCAGGAUCCAAAGAAAGAAAAUGCCUUUAAGGACAGUAUGAUCACCAGAUCACCAGCCCCCAGCUGCUGCUGAAGCCCAGAAGUCUGGUUGCCCAAGAGGUUAUCUGAAGUAAAAGAAACAGAUUUCCCCUCUGUUUUCUCUGAAACUCCUCCUCCCAAGCCAGUUAGCUCUUUAAAGACCCCCUGCUUUCUUCUUUCACGAAGGCGCAUUUGAGAAGGCCUAUCCUGGGGCCUUCUCUUCUCAUUUUGACCAAUUUGAAUAACCCUUUCUCCAUCUCCAAGCACUGCUGUCUCAGUGACCGGCUUACUGUGCAUCAGGCACAGGAACUUGAGAUUAAGAGGUCAGGUAUCAAGUUCGCUUUGAAUGUGGAACAGACACAUGCAGAUUUGUUAUUCAGGAGGUCCCAGGCCAGCUAAAGAGAUGAGAGUGCCCUGCCCCACAAACAAGAGAAGCUUACUGGAGGCCAAUAACCAUGCGCUCUGCUGGUUGGCGCUUCAGGAUAUUAGAAAAGGUCAGCUGAGUUGUCGAAGCUUCAUUCUAG
ensembl:lncRNA